CGUAGGUGGCAAGCGUUGUCCGGAUUUAUUGGGUUUAAAGGGUGCGUAGGCGGCCGCCUAAGUCAGUUGUGAAAUACCCCGGCUCAACCGGGGGGGGUGCGAUUGAUACUGGGCGGCUCGAGUAACAGCGAGGUUGGCGGAAUUGACGGUGUAGCGGUGAAAUGCAUAGAUAUCGUCAAGAACACCGAUAGCGAAGGCAGCCAACUAGGGGUUAACUGACGCUGAGGCACGAAAGUGCGGGGAUCAAACAGGAUUAGAUACCCUGGUAGUCCGCACUGUAAACGAUGAUUACUCGAUGUUGGCGAUAGACAGCCAGCGUCCAAGGGAAACCGAUAAGUAAUCCACCUGGGGAGUACGCCGGCAACGGUG
rnacentral:rRNA from 1 species